rnacentral:rRNA from 1 species
AGGCUUAACACAUGCAAGUCGAGCGCACUCUUUUAGAGUGAGCGGCAAACGGGUGAGUAACGCGUGGGAAUCUACCCCUCUCUACGGAAUAACACAGAGAAAUUUGUGCUAAUACCGUAUACGUCCCCUCGGGGAGAAAGAUUUAUCGGAGAUGGAUGAGCCCGCGUUGGAUUAGCUAGUUGGUGAGGUAACGGCUCACCAAGGCGACGAUCCAUAGCUGGUCUGAGAGGAUGAUCAGCCACACUGGGACUGAGACACGGCCCAGACUCCUACGGGAGGCAGCAGUGGGGAAUAUUGGACAAUGGGGGCAACCCUGAUCCAGCCAUGCCGCGUGAGUGAUGAAGGCCCUAGGGUUGUAAAGCUCUUUCA